GACGAACGCUGGCGGCGUGCUUAACACAUGCAAGUCGAACGGAAAGGCCCUGCUUUUGUGGGGUGCUCGAUUGGCGAACGGGUGAGUAACACGUGAGUAACCUGCCCUUGUCUUUGGGAUAACUUCAGGAAACUGGGGCUAAUACCGGAUAGGAGCUCCUGCUGCAUGGGGGUGGUUGGAAAGUUUCGGCGGUUGGGGAUGGACUCGCGGCUUAUCAGCUUGUUGGUGGGGUAGUGGCUUACCAAGGCUUUGACGGGUAGCCGGCCUGAGAGGGUUGCCGGCCACAUUGGGACUGAGAUACGGCGCAGACUCGUACGGGAGGCAGCAGUGGGGAGUAUUGCACAAUGGGCGGAAGCCUGAUGCAGCAACGCCGCGUGCGGGAUGACGGCCUUCGGGUUGUAAACCGCUUUCGCCUGUGACGAAGCGUGAGUGACGGUAAUGGGUAAAGAAGCACCGGCUAACUACGUG
rnacentral:rRNA from 1 species